rnacentral:rRNA from 1 species
AGUGAACGCUGGCGGUAGGCCUAACACAUGCAAGUCGAACGGCAGCAUAGUAAGAGCUUGCUCUUACGGGUGGCGAGUGGCGGACGGGUGAGGAAUACAUCGGAAUCUACUUUUUCGUGGGGGAUAACGUAGGGAAACUUACGCUAAUACCGCAUACGACCUACGGGUGAAAGCAGGGGAUCUUCGGACCUUGCGCGAUUGAAUGAGCCGAUGUCGGACUAGCUAGUUGGCGGGGUAAAGGCCCACCAAGGCGACGAUCCGUAGCUGGUCUGAGAGGAUGAUCAGCCACACUGGAACUGAGACACGGUCCAGACUCCUACGGGAGGCAGCAGUGGGGAAUAUUGGACAAUGGGCGCAAGCCUGAUCCAGCCAUACCGCGUGGGUGAAGAAGGCCUUCGGGUUGUAAAGCCCUUUUGUUGGGAAAGAAAAGCAGCAGGUUAAUACCCCGCUGUUCUGACGGUACCCAAAGAAUAAGCACCGGCUAACUUCGUG